rnacentral:lncRNA from 1 species
CAAACAUAGCUUAACAAUAUAGGACGAAAGGGAGAGAAGAGAAGAAUGGAAUGAUUUGUUGCAAUAAAGGAAAAGUCUGUAAUUGUAUUUAAGAAAAGAGGAAAAACAAAGAUGCAUGGAGGAAGGUAAGAGUCUCCACUCCCAUAACAAUAACAAUAACAACAGCACAAGCAUAUGUGUGCUGGUGUGAAGCUUUAUUGAAUAUAUAGUAUUAUAGUAUAAUUGAUAAUGAUUAUGCAAUAACUUUGAUGAAGCAGCCUCCAACGGAAUGAGUUCUUAAUUGCAAAUGAUGGUCUGGUUCUGUUGAUCACAUAAGUUUAAUAGUAGCUGCACCUUAAGGUUAAUACCAAUGUCUAUUCCUAAGAGUUGGGUGUCGGCUAUGUCGCAAACGCACAGAGUGGCAUUAGCCUGCACAAGAUUACCAAGGAGGGUGCAGCACCCGUUUUCUGGGCGGACACUCUGACCCAAACGUAAAACGUCAGCGCACAAACCCAGCUCUGGACAUUCUCGUGGUGGUGAUGGUGACGGUGGUGUCUGUGGUGCAACCAUGGAAAACAGAAAAAGGUUGAGGCUGAGGAUAAAGGUAAAGGAUGCAAUACUCUUGGAACCCAUUUUUCAAAUACUUUCUCUCUUCCAAAUUAAUCUUUAAUCUCAAUAACUUCUUUUGCUUGUGUUAGAAAUCUCAACUUUGCAAACCAUUUAUAGGCCAAGGAUCUCAAAUUAAAUUAAUUGAGUUCAGACAUAAGUACCUCUAAAUAUUCUACUUUUUACCACCAAAUUAUGAAACAAGACAAUGUAAUUUCUUUACUUUAAUGAGACCAUGGACCAUUCAUUAAUUAAUUCUCUGAAAAUAUUGCUUACCCACCACUAUUUUCCUGCUUCAUUUUUUUAUUAAAUUUAUUACAUUAAUUUUAUAAAAUAUUGUUAUAAACAGUAUCAAAGAAUUAACAAUACCCAAUACACUCUCUUUUUUAUAUGAAAAUAUGUUUAAUCCUCAUAUAAUAUAGUCUUUUUCUUUAUAAUUAUACUUUUAUUUAAAAAAUUCAAACAUACACUUCAAAUAUCUAAUCUAAUCGUAAUCCACUCUAGACAAAUAAUAUAUUAUUAUUAUUAUUUUUAAAGUUUGAAUUGAUAACUAAUUUUACGUUUAUAUGUCGAACCAUGAUGAUGAUCCGUUAAUUUAAUAAAUUUUGCUAGUAAAGUACUAAUUCAAAGUUUCAUUAAUUUAGGCCAGUUUGGGAAAAAGAACAAUGAAAGUUAUUCCAAGAUACAACUGUAUUUUGACAAAAAUAAUUUAGUCAAAUUUAAAUAAUCAAUACUAUAAAUGAAUUUUAUCAAAUUAAAAUUACAUUUUUAUCCUUAAAUUCAAAUUAAGUUUUAUUUUUUUGUCUUUUUCCCUCUUUAUGUAUCUAUGCAACAACAUUUUACUUGCUUAUGGACUUUAUUUGGAUAUAUAUUUUAAAUAUUAUUUGUAUUUCUUUUGCAAUUUAAUUUGGAUUUUAUUUAAAAAUUUAUAAAAUAUUUUUUUAAAAUAUUCAAAGGUUGAAAACGGAUAUCCAAUGGAUAUCCACGGAUUAUGCAGAUAUCUAGCAGAUAACAUAUGUGGUAACUGAUACAAUAUUUUAUCCAAUAAAUCAAGUCACGGAUAGAUAUUAUCCUUCCUUCCAACCUAACCUGUUGUCAUUCCUAACUAACAUGUUGUCAUGUGUAAUAAAAAAAAUCCUACCAUUAAAUAUUUAAUUUUUCAUCAAUGUUAACUAUAUCGAAAGAUAUAUAUUUAUAAGAAUCGAACUCAUCUUAUUAUUAUAUUAAUAUUACUUUUUACAAAUUAUUUUUUAAUUAAUUUUUUAUAUGAUUACUCUUUUAUAAAAUUAUAAUUUUUUAUUUACUUUUUGAAAAAACUUCUUCCGUUUGUUAUGUUGAGUGGAUUGUGAAUAGGAUUUUUUAUGGAAAUUCCUGAUCAAAGUGUAGUAGAAGAAAAUAUAUAUGAAGGGUUUUAAUUUUAUAUUUUAAUAUUGAUACAGUUUUUAAGGUUGAGAUUCUUGAUGCUAUGUUUCUUAUUAAGGUGAGUGUAGUCACAUAUUAAAACUUUUUAUUGUUGGAAAUAGAUUUUAUAGUGAAUUUUCUUUUAAAAAUUCUACUAGUGUUAUAAUAAUAGAUGGAAUUGCUGCCUUAACAUAAAUAAAUGUUUUAAUUUUAACCUUUUCCAUAUUUUUAUAAAAGAAGAUAAAUGUGCAGAUAAUUUAGCCAAUUUAGAACCAAUAUAAAGCAAGAUUCUCAUUAAUUUAUAAUUUUCCUUCUUUAUUACACAUGAAUGUUCUUAAGAAUAAGUAUGUGGGUUAAGUGAUUAUUUAAUAGAUAUCUCCAUGAAGCAUUUGAUAUUUGAGAUAUUAUGAGUCAAUUUGAUCGGAAUAUCAUAUUAAUGAUGUUAUUUGGAAUUAUUUUUUUUCCUAACACAAACUAACACUUUUAAUUAUAAAAAGUAUUUUUGUAUACAUAUCUCUUAAUAUUUUAUAUUAAAUAUAGCUAAUAUUUUCAUUAAUUACUUAUUAAAUUAAAUAUUAUUUUUAUUUCUUUAAUUUUUCGUUAAUAUUUACAAAUUUCAAUAAAAAUAAGAGACAUGUAUGUAUUUUCUUACAAUAACAAAGUAUUGACCGGUAAGAAAUGCAUAAAAUUAAGAUAUAAUAUAAAGAUUUGUCCACAAAAAUAAGAUAAAUAUAGACAUUCUUUUUUUAUAAAUAACAAGUAUCGUCGAAUUAAAAAUGUAUAAGUUUUUUUUUUUUAAAAUUGUUUACUUAAGAGUAAUUACAUUGAUAUCUCCUUGAUAUUACGCUUAAGUUUUGUUAAUCUAAAAGAGCAGUUCGUUACUAAAACUUUACGUACCUUUCUUGGAUUUUAUUUUUAAGAAUAUUAUUUAUAUGAUUAUCCCAUAAAAAUAAAAUGAAAUAUAUGCAUUUAUAUAGACCUUUAUUUUUCCAACAAAAUUCAUGUAUAAUAAAUGUUAACUAACUUAAAGAAAGUUAAUAUAAAAUAAAAUUCAAUUAAUAUUUAUUUUUUAUAUUUACUGUAUAAAAUACUAUAUAGUUUUGAAAUAUUAAAAGAAUUAAAAUACUUGCUAUAGGCUAAUUAUAUUUAUAUUGCAUUUCUUAAAAUAAUUUUAUUGAAAUGCAUAAAAACUUUGUGAUAACGACUGCUAAACUCAUUUAAAUUAUGUUGCCUUCAUCUUUUAUGAAAUCAUGCCGAACCCUAUUAGGCACAAGCAUUUACCUAAUGGUGCUUGACUAAUUGUUUCAAUUAAGUGUCCAUUAAUGUAAUUUUGUUAGCAUAGAGAAUAUAACAUUCAAUACAAUUAAUAUAUUUCUAGUGUAAUUUUUUAAAAAUGAGAAUUACUUGUUGUUCUUUAAUUACUACUUUCUAAACUAAACUUAUUAUAUAAUUAUUUUAUAUUGAGAAAAAAAAUCAUUUCAUUUAAUUUAUCUAUUUAGAGCUUCAGGCUAUUAUAGAUUUUAUAAUUUAAAAUAUAUUUUUAUUUGAUAAAUAUAAUUGUAAACAAGAGAUAUAAAUCAUUAUAUAUGUCAUAAUUAAGUUUUUUUUUUUUUUUUUAUCAAAGAAUAGCAUAUUGAAGUUAAUUAUCAUAUUUCACGUAAUGAAGUAACCUUUUGGUACCAUUUGUCCCUCAUGUUUUUACCGAGGUAUAAAUAAUAGACAUUUUUAUAAAGAUCUUGUCAAAAUCACAAUUUGAGUAUUUUUAAUUCAAGUUAGGUAUUCAAAAUCUUCUUGCUCCCACUUGAGAGAUGUUAAGAUACAUCAAGAUAUUAUUAUUAUAGUUGUUUAUUUUAUUAUUAAUUAGAAGAUAUGAUAUUAGCUUUUUUAUAUGAACGUAUGACAUUAUUUUAUGAACAUUUUUAUGAGUGAUAGACUUUAUUUAGUUGAAUAUAUAUAUAUAUAUAUAUAUAUAUAUAUAUAUAUAUAUAUAUAUAUAUAUGUGUGUGUAUGUAUAUCAUAUUGAUAUUUUUUAUUCUAUUUUUUAUUUAAGUUAUAACCAUUAUUAUUUGCAACAUAAAUAAAUAAAAUUAAGUUUACUCAAAAAUUAAAUCCAAAUAAGUGGUAUCGUAAAAUAUAUAUUUAAAUAAAAUCAAUAUAUCUAAAGUAACUUUAAUUUCAUAAAUUUAAAUAAAAAAUAAAUUUAUAAAUUUAAAUUUUAAACAAUUUUAUAAUUAUUAAAGUUUACUUUAUCCAUAAUUUUAUAUUUUUAUUUUUAAAAAAUUAUUUAAAUGAAAAUAAUCAAUAAUAAUAGGUAUUUGUAAGUCUAUUAAGAUAACAUCAGAGUUUAUUUUGAAAAUUAAAUCUUCUUUCACAACUUUUUUCUUUAAAGAUGUUUUAAAAGUUUGAAAAAUAAAAAUAUAUUUAAAAUAUUCUUAGUACCUAUUCUUAAAAGUACAAUAGAGAACACAUAUUAAUAUUCAUAAACUUAUAUGUGUAUAAAUACUAAAUUAUAUGUAUACUAACAUAAAAUUAAAAUACAAUAGAUAUAUAAUAAGAAAUAACAAUAGUGUGCGUCGAAUAACUUCUUUUUAUCAUAAUUUCUACAUAAAAUUAAAAUAUAAUUGAUAUAUAAUAAGAAUAUGCUAACCUACUUAAAGGUUUGAAAAAUCUAACAAAAUGGUUUGGUAUAUUUCUACUUUUUAGGUUUUUGGGUGGGCUAAUGAGCUAAGUUUGAUUUUUAAUUGAUCCGUUGAGCCUAAACAAGUAUUAGAUUCCACUUGAACUUUUAAGUUUUUAAACAAGUCAAAAUUAUUUAAUUAAUGAAUUUACUAUUUUAUGAUAUAUAUUUAGAUAAAGUUCUUUAUGAAAACUUUUAAAAAAUUAAACUUCUCAAUAAAUUAAAAUUAAUUUAUUAGCAAAUUAAAAAAAAUAAAGACAUUGAAACAUAUAAGAGCUUUUAUAAACAUAAUUUAUUUGAAACUUAUAAAAAUCUCAUUUAUUUUUCUCACCUAAAACUUUUUUUUUUAAAGUUUGUCCAAAUAAACAUUUGAUAUAUUUUCUCUACAUAUUUUACAAUAGAUCUUAGUUUUUUUAAUAAUAAACUUAAUUAUUUGUUUGAUAUGUGAGAAAAUUUCAAAGUUGGUUUUCACUUUUGAAAAAAUUUUAAUUGCAUUUAUAUUUUGAAAAAGUGUUUCAAUGAAGUUUUUUUCAAAAAAUAAAAUUCCUAACAACAUACAACAUGUUAGUAUACAUAUUUUUUAAUUUUGAUUAUUUUAAUUACAAGAGAUUAUUAUUAAUUAACAUAAUUUUAAAAAGAUUUGAAUUUUAUCACACUUCCACAUUCUAAGCGGGAGAUUCAUAAAAAUGAACUUAGGAUAAGUCUUUGAUGAAGAUGUCAACUAUCUAGUUGUAGGAAAGGAGACGAAGAACACGUGUCUAAUCACGUCCUGCCUUUUCUCAAACAAAGUGAAUAUCCAACUCAAUAUGUUUUUUGUAUUGAUGAUGUAGAGGAUUACUAUAUAGAUAAAUGACACUAACAUUAUCACAGGAUACUAAAGUAACUUGAGAGAGGAAAAUAAAGCUUUAGUAAGAGAUUACAAGUCAACAAGAACAACAUUUGCAACACAUCGAUAUUGAGCCUCUACACUAAAACAAAAGAUAAUAUGCUAGAACUUUGAAGAUAAUGAAAUAAGAUUAUCACCAAGAAACACUCACUAACUAGAUAUGGAGCAUCAUCGCAAUCAACAUCAAUUUAAGAAAUAAGUUUCUUAAUAGAGGUCGAAUUGAGGUGUAAUCCAUAUUGUAAGAUACCCUGAAUGUCCCGCAAAAUAUGUUUAAAUGCUAGCAUGUGCUCAGUGUAAUGGGCAUGCAUGUGAAAAGAGACCUAUUAAAAUAUGAAAUGUUAAGGCAAGUGAAGGUGAGAUACUUUAGGCACUGACAAGACUCUAAUACAGAGUGAGAUUCUUAUAAGGUGUGUUGGAGGAUAUACUAAGCUCUUGUUUAGUACCAAUCAGAGUAGCAAAAGGAUUGCAAAAGGUCAUGGGUAUGCAAUGAUGUCACUAUCAUAGGUGUUCUGAUUGAGGAACAAGUUACCCACAUGUCUUGUCACAACAAUCCAAAGAAAUUAACUCAAAGGAUCGAGAUUUUUCAUCGAAAAUUCACAGACAAGAAGUGUCAUGAUAUAUUUGUGAUGGUCAUGGAAUAAGGUGAUGAGAAUGAUGUUAUAUCAAAACCAUGUCGAUACAUGUGGAGAAUGAUCUGAAAUACUGGAACCCAUUAAUAGAAAUAUAGUCAAAAAAGUUUUGAUACCAAACAGAAAAGACUUAUUUCAUACCAUAAAAAGUCAUUUAAAAGAUAAAAUUGAAAAAAGUGUAUACAAAAAAAAUCUUCUUUAUAUAAUAUAAUAUAUAAAUAUUGUUGCAUUACAAAAUAUUUCCUAAUUUCUAAUAUGACAUAUAUAUAAUGAUUUAUAUCUCUUGUUUACAAUUAUAUUUAUCAAAUAAAAAUAUAUUUUAAAUUAUAAAAUCUAUAAUAGCCUGAAGCUCUAAAUAGAUAAAUUAAAUGAAAUGAUUUUUUUUCUCAAUAUAAAAUAAUUAUAUAAUAAGUUUAGUUUAGAAAGUAGUAAUUAAAGAACAACAAGUAAUUCUCAUUUUUAAAAAAUUACACUAGAAAUAUAUUAAUUGUAUUGAAUGUUAUAUUCUCUAUGCUAACAAAAUUACAUUAAUGGACACUUAAUUGAAACAAUUAGUCAAGCACCAUUAGGUAAAUGCUUGUGCCUAAUAGGGUUCGGCAUGAUUUCAUAAAAGAUGAAGGCAACAUAAUUUAAAUGAGUUUAGCAGUCGUUAUCACAAAGUUUUUAUGCAUUUCAAUAAAAUUAUUUUAAGAAAUGCAAUAUAAAUAUAAUUAGCCUAUAGCAAGUAUUUUAAUUCUUUUAAUAUUUCAAAACUAUAUAGUAUUUUAUACAGUAAAUAUAAAAAAUAAAUAUUAAUUGAAUUUUAUUUUAUAUUAACUUUCUUUAAGUUAGUUAACAUUUAUUAUACAUGAAUUUUGUUGGAAAAAUAAAGGUCUAUAUAAAUGCAUAUAUUUCAUUUUAUUUUUAUGGGAUAAUCAUAUAAAUAAUAUUCUUAAAAAUAAAAUCCAAGAAAGGUACGUAAAGUUUUAGUAACGAACUGCUCUUUUAGAUUAACAAAACUUAAGCGUAAUAUCAAGGAGAUAUCAAUGUAAUUACUCUUAAGUAAACAAUUUUAAAAAAAAAAACUUAUACAUUUUUAAUUCGACGAUACUUGUUAUUUAUAAAAAAAGAAUGUCUAUAUUUAUCUUAUUUUUGUGGACAAAUCUUUAUAUUAUAUCUUAAUUUUAUGCAUUUCUUACCGGUCAAUACUUUGUUAUUGUAAGAAAAUACAUACAUGUCUCUUAUUUUUAUUGAAAUUUGUAAAUAUUAACGAAAAAUUAAAGAAAUAAAAAUAAUAUUUAAUUUAAUAAGUAAUUAAUGAAAAUAUUAGCUAUAUUUAAUAUAAAAUAUUAAGAGAUAUGUAUACAAAAAUACUUUUUAUAAUUAAAAGUGUUAGUUUGUGUUAGGAAAAAAAAUAAUUCCAAAUAACAUCAUUAAUAUGAUAUUCCGAUCAAAUUGACUCAUAAUAUCUCAAAUAUCAAAUGCUUCAUGGAGAUAUCUAUUAAAUAAUCACUUAACCCACAUACUUAUUCUUAAGAACAUUCAUGUGUAAUAAAGAAGGAAAAUUAUAAAUUAAUGAGAAUCUUGCUUUAUAUUGGUUCUAAAUUGGCUAAAUUAUCUGCACAUUUAUCUUCUUUUAUAAAAAUAUGGAAAAGGUUAAAAUUAAAACAUUUAUUUAUGUUAAGGCAGCAAUUCCAUCUAUUAUUAUAACACUAGUAGAAUUUUUAAAAGAAAAUUCACUAUAAAAUCUAUUUCCAACAAUAAAAAGUUUUAAUAUGUGACUACACUCACCUUAAUAAGAAACAUAGCAUCAAGAAUCUCAACCUUAAAAACUGUAUCAAUAUUAAAAUAUAAAAUUAAAACCCUUCAUAUAUAUUUUCUUCUACUACACUUUGAUCAGGAAUUUCCAUAAAAAAUCCUAUUCACAAUCCACUCAACAUAACAAACGGAAGAAGUUUUUUCAAAAAGUAAAUAAAAAAUUAUAAUUUUAUAAAAGAGUAAUCAUAUAAAAAAUUAAUUAAAAAAUAAUUUGUAAAAAGUAAUAUUAAUAUAAUAAUAAGAUGAGUUCGAUUCUUAUAAAUAUAUAUCUUUCGAUAUAGUUAACAUUGAUGAAAAAUUAAAUAUUUAAUGGUAGGAUUUUUUUUAUUACACAUGACAACAUGUUAGUUAGGAAUGACAACAGGUUAGGUUGGAAGGAAGGAUAAUAUCUAUCCGUGACUUGAUUUAUUGGAUAAAAUAUUGUAUCAGUUACCACAUAUGUUAUCUGCUAGAUAUCUGCAUAAUCCGUGGAUAUCCAUUGGAUAUCCGUUUUCAACCUUUGAAUAUUUUAAAAAAAUAUUUUAUAAAUUUUUAAAUAAAAUCCAAAUUAAAUUGCAAAAGAAAUACAAAUAAUAUUUAAAAUAUAUAUCCAAAUAAAGUCCAUAAGCAAGUAAAAUGUUGUUGCAUAGAUACAUAAAGAGGGAAAAAGACAAAAAAAUAAAACUUAAUUUGAAUUUAAGGAUAAAAAUGUAAUUUUAAUUUGAUAAAAUUCAUUUAUAGUAUUGAUUAUUUAAAUUUGACUAAAUUAUUUUUGUCAAAAUACAGUUGUAUCUUGGAAUAACUUUCAUUGUUCUUUUUCCCAAACUGGCCUAAAUUAAUGAAACUUUGAAUUAGUACUUUACUAGCAAAAUUUAUUAAAUUAACGGAUCAUCAUCAUGGUUCGACAUAUAAACGUAAAAUUAGUUAUCAAUUCAAACUUUAAAAAUAAUAAUAAUAAUAUAUUAUUUGUCUAGAGUGGAUUACGAUUAGAUUAGAUAUUUGAAGUGUAUGUUUGAAUUUUUUAAAUAAAAGUAUAAUUAUAAAGAAAAAGACUAUAUUAUAUGAGGAUUAAACAUAUUUUCAUAUAAAAAAGAGAGUGUAUUGGGUAUUGUUAAUUCUUUGAUACUGUUUAUAACAAUAUUUUAUAAAAUUAAUGUAAUAAAUUUAAUAAAAAAAUGAAGCAGGAAAAUAGUGGUGGGUAAGCAAUAUUUUCAGAGAAUUAAUUAAUGAAUGGUCCAUGGUCUCAUUAAAGUAAAGAAAUUACAUUGUCUUGUUUCAUAAUUUGGUGGUAAAAAGUAGAAUAUUUAGAGGUACUUAUGUCUGAACUCAAUUAAUUUAAUUUGAGAUCCUUGGCCUAUAAAUGGUUUGCAAAGUUGAGAUUUCUAACACAAGCAAAAGAAGUUAUUGAGAUUAAAGAUUAAUUUGGAAGAGAGAAAGUAUUUGAAAAAUGGGUUCCAAGAGUAUUGCAUCCUUUACCUUUAUCCUCAGCCUCAACCUUUUUCUGUUUUCCAUGGUUGCACCACAGACACCACCGUCACCAUCACCACCACGAGAAUGUCCAGAGCUGGGUUUGUGCGCUGACGUUUUACGUUUGGGUCAGAGUGUCCGCCCAGAAAACGGGUGCUGCACCCUCCUUGGUAAUCUUGUGCAGGCUAAUGCCACUCUGUGCGUUUGCGACAUAGCCGACACCCAACUCUUAGGAAUAGACAUUGGUAUUAACCUUAAGGUGCAGCUACUAUUAAACUUAUGUGAUCAACAGAACCAGACCAUCAUUUGCAAUUAAGAACUCAUUCCGUUGGAGGCUGCUUCAUCAAAGUUAUUGCAUAAUCAUUAUCAAUUAUACUAUAAUACUAUAUAUUCAAUAAAGCUUCACACCAGCACACAUAUGCUUGUGCUGUUGUUAUUGUUAUUGUUAUGGGAGUGGAGACUCUUACCUUCCUCCAUGCAUCUUUGUUUUUCCUCUUUUCUUAAAUACAAUUACAGACUUUUCCUUUAUUGCAACAAAUCAUUCCAUUCUUCUCUUCUCUCCCUUUCGUCCUAUAUUGUUAAGCUAUGUAUACUGUAGCCAUUUUGGUUUAAUUGUUAUGUUCUUAAGGUUGGGUGCUUUUUUCAAACAUCAAAUUAAUAUUUUAAUAACGUGC